rnacentral:rRNA from 1 species
GAUUGUUCACCCACCAAUAGGGAACGUGAGCUGGGUUUAGACCGUCGUGAGAUAGGUUAGUUUUACUCUACUGAUGAUAGUUUCGCAAUAGUAAUUCAACCUAGUACGAGAGAAACCGUUGAUUCGCACAAUUGGUCAUCGUGCUUGGUUGAAAAGCCAGUGGCGCGAAGCUACAGUGCGCUGGAUUAUGACUGAAUGCCUCCAAGUCAGAAUUUGGGCUAGAAGCGACGCAUGCGCCCGUCACCCGCUUGCUGACCCGCAGUAGGGGUCGUCCGGCACCCAAAAGCACAUGUCGCUGGUGAAGCCCGUGCGGCGAAUGAGCUGCGUGGGCCACCUUGAAGUACAAUUCCUAUCUCGAGCGGCAGGUAGAAUCCUUUGUAGAUGACUUAAAUACGCGAUGGGGUAUUGUAAGUGGCAGAGUGGCCUUGCUGCCACGAUCCAUUGAGAU